rnacentral:rRNA from 1 species
UACAGAGGUCUCGAGCGUUGUUCGGAUUCAUUGGGCGUAAAGGGUGCGUAGGUGGCGCUGUAAGUCGGGUGUGAAAUCCUGAGGCUUAACCUCGGAACUGCAUUCGAUACUGCGGCGCUUGAGGACUGGAGAGGAGACUGGAAUUCAUGGUGUAGCAGUGAAAUGCGUAGAGAUCAUGAGGAAGACCAGUGGCGAAGGCGGGUCUCUGGACAGUUCCUGACACUGAGGCACGAAGGCCCAGGGGGAGCAAACGGG